rnacentral:hammerhead_ribozyme from 1 species
AUCCAGCUGACGAGUUUCAAAUAGAACAAAACGCACUUCCUGGAU